rnacentral:rRNA from 1 species
UACGAAGGGGGCUAGCGUUGUUCGGAAUUACUGGGCGUAAAGCGCGCGUAGGCGGUUUUGCAAGACAGAGGUGAAAUGCCUGAGCUCAACUUAGGAAUUGCCUUUGGGACUGCGAGGCUUUGAGGACUGGAGAGGUGAGUGGAAUUCCCAGUGUAGAGGUGAAAUUCGUAGAUAUUCGCAAGAACACCAGUGGCGAAGGCGGCUCACUGGCCCGAUACUGACGCUGAGGCACGAAAGCGUGGGGAGCAAACAGG